rnacentral:rRNA from 1 species
UACGUAGGGUGCAAGCGUUGUCCGGAAUUAUUGGGCGUAAAGAGCUCGUAGGCGGUCUGUCGCGUCGGCUGUGAAAACCCGGAGCUCAACUCCGGGCCUGCAGUCGAUACGGGCAAACUAGAGUACUGCAGGGGAGACUGGAAUUCCUGGUGUAGCGGUGAAAUGCGCAGAUAUCAGGAGGAACACCGGUGGCGAAGGCGGGUCUCUGGGCAGUAACUGACGCUGAGGAGCGAAAGCGUGGGGAGCGAACAGG